ensembl:lncRNA
UAUUUGUGUGCAUCAGUGUGGGAGGUAUGUGUGCACUUGUGUGCAUGUCAGUGUGUGGGGGGUGCGUGUGCACUCGUGUGUGUGGGGGAGAGGUGUGCAGUUGUGUGCAUGUCAGUGUGUGUGGGGGUAUGUGUGUGCAUAUGUCUGUGUGCGUGUCAACGUGUGGGGGUGGGGAGGAGGUAUGUGUGCACUUGUGUGUGGGGGGUGCGCGUGUGUCCGUGUGUGUGUGGGGGGGCAUGGGCGCACGUGUGUGCAUGCGCACGCUCGCGUUUAGGGAGUUGUUGCUUUGCUUUUGUUUUCUCCCCGCAGCAGAGCCCCCUGCGCUGGCCAAAGUUCAGCUCUGCAUUCGCAGCUCUUUGGGCCCUGCCUGGGCCGCUUCAGAGCCCGGCUCGCAGGGCUGCCCCGUGGCUGCGCCAGGCCCUGCCGAGCAGGAGCAGCCUUGGGCACGAUGGCACCAGGCCCCAGCACGACACGGACAGGGAGAUGCUGUGUUGCCUCAGCCGCUCGCUUUACACGAGCCUGCUCAUGUGUGCCACUGAGAGGUUUCAUGUGUGAAGUCUUAAAAAGAAAAAAACCACACAGUUGGCAAAUGAAAUUUUGUCCUGAAAUAUUGUGAGAAGACUCUCAGAAGAGCUGACAGUAGGAUCUGAAACUGCGAGGCGUUGGAGUGGCCCGGGGAAGCCUUUUGGGUCCUGUUCAUACGGACAAGUUUAGACAUGUCUGCCUGUCCGUGUUUACGGUCAAGUAUAACCAGCCACGUGCUCUGAGCAGAGAGGUCUGCCAGUUCCUGCUCACUAGUAUAGACUCUUUUAAACCAUCUUCAGUCCUAACUCUUUUGAAUGGCUAGUAUACUGUAAGACAUCCCGAGAAGGUGCAAAUAUUACUGUGUGUACUCUGUAUAUAAUUCAUGCAAAUAUUUCUUCAUGCAGUGAAUGCCCCAGCCGUGCUGGCAUCCUUGCCUCUUGUAUUUUUACUUAAAGGGGGUGCAUUUUAUUGAUAUGAAUGAAUAUGCUUUUAACUGAGUGAAGUUUUCUUAUAAAUUACAUAUAGAAAUUAUUGGCAUGAUUCCUUUUUUGUUUUGCAUUAGCUUGCUAGAAAACAUCCUGUGCAGCUUUAUUUUCCCCUGUGCACCAUUUAUAUAGCUAUUUUAUAUUGCAGUCACUCCUGGAAAAGCCCUCUUGUGCUAGGGCUUGCACACACAGACUCGAAGACAAUCCCUGUCCAGAGACCUUGUUGUCUCAUCUACCCUGUUCUUAGGUGACUGCCACCACCAUGGUACCCAAGCAUAUAUUUUUGCAUUAUUUAAAAAACAAUCAUUUACUUCCUUCAGUCUUUCCGUAUGUUUUCCUUCCAUUUCUGAUGUAGUGCACACCUGAUUUUUAGAUGGUUAGUUUGUUGGCUUGUUGAUUAUCAGUUUUUUUAAGCUAAUGCAGUUACUGUGUUUUCCACUAGCAUAUAGGUGGUCAGGAAUUAAUUACCAUCUCUCAUAACUGCUUCCACACUGAAGGGGCUGUAGUGUUUUAGCUAGGCUGAUACAGCUAACAAAUACACAAGCUUUCUCUUUAGACAAGGCCUACGUGAUUUGCUGUACUCUUCUAAAUCUGCAUCUGUGCAAUGGAGCAGCACAGGCUGUGAAACUUGGCUACAGCAAAAUCAGGAGGUCAGUCAUGCUGCAGUUGAAGUUGGUGGCCAUAUGUUCCCUUGGAGUGGGAUUAUGACUGAAUCUGAGCCUACUCAGCUGUGAGCUAGUCUCUGCUUUUAAUAGAAAAGGUUGGCAUCUUGUGUGACUUCUUCUCACUUGAAUGUGCCUUGCUCAGGUGCUGACUGCUUUAUAAAAUGGUUGUGGAUUGUAUCACAUCUGAAUCCUGUGUUUGCUGGCAUUCUCUUGCUUUCUUGCCUCUUACUUUAUUUUUUUUAAGCCUAGGCAUGGCUCAGUUCAAUAAAGUGUUUGAGCCUGCUCA